rnacentral:rRNA from 1 species
GAGUUAGUGGCGGACGGGUGAAGUAACACGUGGGAACGUGCCUUUAGGUUCGGAAUAACUCAGGGAAACUUGUGCUAAUACCGAAUGUGCCCUUCGGGGGAAAGAUUUAUCGCCUUUAGAGCGGCCCGCGUCUGAUUAGCUAGUUGGUGAGGUAAAGGCUCACCAAGGCGACGAUCAGUAGCUGGUCUGAGAGGAUGAUCAGCCACAUUGGGACUGAGACACGGCCCAAACUCCUACGGGAGGCAGCAGUGGGGAAUCUUGCGCAAUGGGCGAAAGCCUGACGCAGCCAUGCCGCGUGAAUGAUGAAGGUCUUAGGAUUGUAAAAUUCUUUCAGUAGGGACGAUAAUGACGGUACCUACAGAAGAAGCCCCGGCUAACUUCGUGCCAGCAGCCGCGGUAAUACGAAGGGGGCUAGCGUUGCUCGGAAUUACUGGGCGUAAAGGGAGCGUAGGCGGACAUUUAAGUCAGGGGUGAAAUCCCGGGGCUCAACCUCGGAAUUGCCUUUGAUACUGGGUGUCUUGAGUGUGAGAGAGGUAUGUGGAACUCCGAGUGUAGAGGUGAAAUUCGUAGAUAUUCGGAAGAACACCAGUGGCGAAGGCGACAUACUGGCUCAUUACUGACGCUGAGGCUCGAAAGCGUGGGGAGCAAACAGGAUUAGAUACCCUGGUAGUCCACGCCGUAAACGAUGAUUGCUAGUUGUCGGGAUGCAUGCAUUUCGGUGACGCAGCUAACGCAUUAAG